CCUACGGGAGUCAGCAGUGGGGAAUAUUGCACAAUGGGGGAAACCCUGAUGCAGCGACGCCGCGUGAGUGAGGAAGUAUUUCGGUAUGUAAAGCUCUAUCAGCAGGGAAGAAAAUGACGGUACCUGACUAAGAAGCCCCGGCUAACUACGUGCCAGCAGCCGCGGUAAUACGUAGGGGGCAAGCGUUAUCCGGAUUUACUGGGUGGAAAGGGAGCGGCGACGGUUAAUCAAGUCAGAAGUGAAAACCCAGGGCCCAACCUUGGGACUGCUUUUGAAACUGAGUAGCUAGAAUGCAGGAGAGGUAAGCGGAAUUCCUAGUGUAGCGGUGAAAUGCGUAGAUAUUAGGAGGAACACCAGUGGCGAAGGCGGCUUACUGGACUGUAACUGACGUUGAGGCUCGAAAGCGUGGGGAGCAAACAGGAUUAGAUACCCCUGUAGUC
rnacentral:rRNA from 1 species